AUUGAACGCUGGCGGCAUGCCUUACACAUGCAAGUCGAACGGUAACGGGCCUUCGGGUGCCGACGAGUGGCGAACGGGUGAGUAAUACAUCGGGACGUGCCCGAUCGUGGGGGAUAACGAGGCGAAAGCUUUGCUAAUACCGCAUACGAUCUACGGAUGAAAGCAGGGGACCGCAAGGCCUUGCGCGGACGGAGCGGCCGAUGGCAGAUUAGGUAGUUGGUGGGAUAAAAGCUUACCAAGCCGACGAUCUGUAGCUGGUCUGAGAGGAUGAUCAGCCACACUGGGACUGAGACACGGCCCAGACUCCUACGGGAGGCAGCAGUGGGGAAUUUUGGACAAUGGGCGCAAGCCUGAUCCAGCCAUGCCGCGUGCAGGAUGAAGGCCUUCGGGUUGUAAACUGCUUUUGUACGGAACGAAAAGCCUUCUUUUAAUACAGGAGGGUCAUGACGGUACCGUAAGAAUAAGCACCGGCUAACUACGUG
rnacentral:rRNA from 1 species